rnacentral:lncRNA from 1 species
UGGAGCUGCUCACAGUCUAUGCCUGGGAACAUGGGAGCCGACGCCUUGAGUUCAACACAGCCCAGGGAUUCCGGACAGUCUUGGAACUGGUCACCAACUACAGGAAUCUUUGAGUCUACUGGAGAGUGUAUUAUGACUUGCCAGACCGGGAGGUCUCCAAAUACUUGCUCAGACAACUUAGAAAAGACAGACCUGUGAUCCUGGACCCAGCUGACCCAACAAGGAACGUGGCUGGUGGGAACUCAUUGGGCUGGUGGCUGCUGGCUGGAGAGGCAACAACCUAGCUGGAGUACCCAUGUGUUAAGGAUUGUGAAAUGUCCCCAUUGCGCCCCUGGCCUGUGUCAGCAGAGUCUGAAGAGCCAUAGGAAUGCGUCCUCCUGUGAGCACAGCAGCACCUGCAAAG